rnacentral:rRNA from 1 species
UUCCGGUUGAUCCUGCCGGAGGCUACCGCUAUUGGAGUUCGAUUAAGCCAUGCGAGUCGCGAGUCUUAGGGACUCGGCGUACCGCUCAGUAACACGUGGGUAACCUGCCCUAUGCUGGGGGAUAACCUCGGGAAACUGAGAAUAAUACCCCAUAGUUCACCACGCCUGGAACGGUGGGUGGACCAAAGCUCCGGCGGCAUAGGAUGGGCCUGCGGCGUAUCAGGUUGUAGGGGGUGUAAUGUACCCUCUAGCCCUCUACGCGUACGGGUGUUGAGAGACAUCGCCCGGAGAUGGAUUCUGAGACACGAAUCCAGACCCUACGGGGUGCAGCAGGCGCGAAAACUUGGCAAUGCGAGAAAUCGUGACCAGGGAACUCCAAGUGCAUCGGGUAAGACCGAUGCUUUUCUUGACUCUUCAAAGGUCUUGGAAUAAGGGGUGGGUAAGGACGGUGCCAGCCGCCGCGGUAAUACCGGCGCCCCAAGUGGUAGUCGCUUUUAUUGGGCCUAAAACGUCCGUAGCCGGUCUGGUACAUUCGUGGGUAAAUCAACCAGCUCAACUGGUUGAAUUCUGCGAGCACGGCCAGACUUGGGACCGGGAGAGGUGUGGGGUACUCUCAGGGUAGGGGUAAAAUCCUGUCAUCCUGAGAGGACCACCUGUUGCGAAGGCGCCACACUAGAACGGAUCCGACGGUCAGGGACGAAGCCUAGGGGCACGAACCGGAUUAGAUACCCGGGUAGUCCUAGGUGUAAACGCUGUGGACUUGAUGUUGGGGGCGCUCCGAGCGCACUCAGUGUCGAAGCGAAGGUGAUAAGUCCACUGCCUGGGGAGUACGGUCGCAAGGCUGAACUUAAAGGAAUUGGCGGGGGAGCACCGCAACCUGAGGAUUGUGCGGUUUAAUUGGAGUCAACGCCGG